GUUUGACCUCAUACACGUAAGAAUACCCGCUGAACUUAAGCAUAUCAAU
rnacentral:rRNA from 1 species